rnacentral:rRNA from 1 species
CCUACGGGGGGCAGCAGUGAGGAAUAUUGGUCAAUGGGCGCAAGCCUGAACCAGCCAAGCCGCGUGAAGGAAGACGGCCCUACGAGUUGUAAACUUCUUUUAUAAAGGAAUAAAGUCAGGCACGUGUCUCUUUUUGUAUGUACUGUAUGAAUAAGGAUCGGCUAACUCCGUGCCAGCAGCCGCGGUAAUACGGAGGAUUCGAGCGUUAUCCGGAUUUAUUGGGUUUAAAGGGAGCGUAGGUGGUUUGUUAAGUCAGUUGUGAAAGCCUGCGGCUCAACUGAAACAUUGCAUUUGAUACUGGCGGCCUUGAGUACAGUUGAGGUAGGCGGAAUGCGUGGUGUAGCGGUGAAAUGCUUAGAUAUCAUACAGAACUCCGAUUGCGAAGGCAGCUUACUAAACUGCCACUGACAUUGAGGCUCGAAAGCGUGGGUAGCAAACAGGAUUAGAUACCCUAGUAGUC